rnacentral:miRNA from 15 species
GCUCACUUUUCCGCUUCUAACUUCCAUUUGCAGAGUUCAAGUAAUCUGGAAAUGGAUUAGAAUCGUGGAAAAGUUAGU